rnacentral:lncRNA from 1 species
AAGACGAAGUUGGUGAGCCCGGCGCCGUGCACUCCCAUGAUCGCGUCGCACGAGUUCACCACGCUCGCGAACCCCGCGACGUCGCCGAACUUGGCGUCCGUCCUCACCACCUCGAAGCCCGACGCCUCCGCCAUCCGGACGAUCUCCGGUACGUUGGUGAACCUCCGCUUGCCCUUUCUCUCCACCACCAGUAGCCUCGGCUUCUUGGUUGGGUGCUCGCGCAAGCUGAUCGCGUGGUCUCGCGGCAGGGAGUAGGUGCCCCUCAGGAACUCGGUGAAGUCGAGCAUGGAGUAGGCGUUGGGAGCUUGAGCGGGCUCGAUGAUGAGGUCGUUGUGGAAGCGGAGGCCGACCAAGACGUGCGGGUGGCAGAGGACUUCGUCGCUGUGGUCGAGAUCGACGAGCUCGUACCGGGUGAGCCUCUUGAUGAUGGGCUGGUACUUGAGGAGCCACCACGGCUGGAUGUUGGUGAUGAGGAACUGGACGUCGCCGUCGAACUGCCGCGCCGUCAAGAACAGAGGGAGCAGCACGUCGGUGAAGUCGUGGUAGUAGUUCCCGGUGAAUCCACCAAGCGCGAACACGAUGGCUGGGACUGCCUGGUUGACGGUGCACCGGGGGAGGAUUGCGGAAGCGCCGUCGUUUGGCGCUGCUCUCACCGUGACCUUGGGGAUGUUCUCCAUCUGCUUGCGGACGUAAGGCACGACCUUCCAUUGUUCUUCCCUUGGUUGAUGGGGGGAAACGAACACCACGGAUGAGGACUUGCCGUGGAUUCGAACGUCGCCCUUCAUCUCGCAGAACUCAGUUCUCGGAUUGUUUAAGUCGCAGAUUGGCUUCAUCAUCUGAAUCAUUCUGUCUUCUCUUUUUGGAGCGUGAAUCUUUUCGGCUUCUGAGCAGCAUCAAGCUCGUGUUGUUACGUUCUAAUUGAAGAAGAUGGAUCCAAUUUGGCCAAGAUGAUCGAGCAUACCUGGUUGCUUGGGUUCUCUCUUCUCUUCCUUGGUGAUUGAGUGGGGAAUAGUGGAAGAGUUCUUGCGGUGCACGCUCUCGUCUGCAGUGUUUCCAUGUUGAUCCUCUGUCUUUCUUCCUCGUUCUGCAAGAGAGAGAGAAGACGAUAUCUCAGUGGAAUUAAUCCUAAAUGAUUGGAGGAAGAGAUUGCAUUGAGCUCAGACGGGUCCAGAACUCGGUGUGCUCUCCAAAACAGGGAUCAGUGACUUCCUGGUUUCUUCCUCUUCUCUGAGCACAUGGCUCUCUGUGUCUUCUCUCUCUCUCUUUCUCUUAGUAUGCUUUCAAGAUGAAGCAAUGUCGAUAGUUCUUCUUACCUUGAUUUUGUAGUCUAAUUUUGCCUUCCACCGCUUCGGUGUUACGAACUCUGUAGGCUACAGAUGGCUGCUGAUCAACUGCAGAACAAGAGAAACAGAACAAAUAAGGAUCCAACAAUCUCUGCGUCUCAAAACUUCUAUAGACAUAGAUAUUACUACCAGAAGAAGAAUAGCGGAACAACAACAGGGAUUGAGGGAAGAGAGAAGACUCACCGGAGGUCUCCGACAUGGAGAUGAAGUAUGUCAAGAUGACCACGCAGCAUCCCACGAGCAACGCCAAACCGAGCUUCCGUGCCUCGAACCGACUCAAGUUCCGAACUACAGUCUUCUCGUAUCCCAUCUUCCGGGCGUCGCCGCCGCUGGUGGAAGCUUCAGCUGAAAGGAAUCACCGGUGGUGAAGGGGAGAGUUGUACGGAACACACAGCAAGAAAGCUCUUCUUUUCCCCCCGCUUGCUGCCAAAGCCUGGUUGGGAAUUCUCCUGUGGAAUGGAUCUGUGGGCUCUCUCUCUCUCUCUCUCUCUCUCUCUCUCUCUCUCUCUCCUUCCUCUUCUUCUUCUUCUUCUUCUUCCUCCAAACCCUGUGUAGCUUUGAGAGAGAGGAAUGGGUGCAAGAGGUUGCAUUUAAAUAUAUCUCCAAAAAAGAUACUCUUCAUCUAAGGAGAUGUAAAACAUUGACUAGUCUGCUUGAGGAAUUAGUCAUCUCCAGUGGACAAAUCUCAAUUGUUCAUUUUCCAGAAUUCCAAAU